CCUACCCAGACUUCCAACCUACGGAAGCUGUGAGAUAAAACAUUUUGGGUUGUUUUAAGCCAUUAAGUUUGUUUUGGCAGCAUAGAAAAGUAACAUAUAGAGAUAUGGAUUCUAAUCAGAAGUUCUAUUUUUACCACUAAAGGUUAAAACAUACUUGGGGUAGCCUUUUCUCAACGUUUUACUUUCUUUUUAUCAGGAGGGUUUAGUCAGGACAAAAGAAACCAUUGCAGGUAUUUCAAGCAGGAAAGAUUUAACACAACAUACUAGGCACUUUAUAAACAGAAAACAAAAAAAAGCGUUGAGGAAACAAAAGUCAGGAAAACUGCCUCACAAAAUAUGGAAGUUGAAAGAAUCACAGGGAAUCACCACUGAUGAUCUCAGUUAUCUGUGGCAUCACAAUAAGUGAUCAUCAGCAGAAUGUCCGGAAGCCACUGGUAAAAUUUCAUGUCUGCAGUAUUCCUGCCUUGCCCUGCGGGAAGAAGAAUAAUGGCUUCUUCCUCGGUUCUGCUUUCCAAAUCUCAUGUGACUGCCUCUCACUGGUGGAAGCUAACUCAGAUCCCAGGCUUCCAGCCCCUGUACUACAGAGAAGAGCACAGAAGGAGAAAUAUGGCCCCGAGGGGCUAGCAUAUUCCUCUAUCUCAUUGUUCCCAUUGCAUUGAUACCCAUAGGCAGAAAAUUAAGCAAGGAAAAAAAAAGGCAAGAAAAGAAAAGGAACACCAGCCACCAAAGCACUUAGCGAUUUCAGAUUCAGACAUUUACAAAGUGAAAUUGCAAAAGAGUUUCAAUUCUUCUUUGCAAGCUCCAUUCUACCUGGAUGAGUGCCAUCACCCUGUCAGGAUAUUUUUUCUGUGUUUAUACAGAAUCAUGGAAUGCUAGCAGCUAUACCUUAAUUCUUUCCUUUUCAAUUUUGCUCUUUUUACAAAGGAAUGGAAAGUCUAUUGAGGUUACUGAAUACUCCAAGUCAAGAUAGCUAGUUAGUAACUAAACAGGGUUAAGGUCUUUUGAAGUCUUUCUCAUUUCCCAACUCACUGUCAAGGUCUACAGAGUCUGAGAUUUGAUACUACUUGCAGACUAACAAGUUUGCCUGCCACUGUUUUGUGGAUACUGGCAGAAGACACAGGACUCUUGGGUCAGAGACAAAAGACUUCAGCACUCAUGGGAUUGAAGUUAGCCUGCUACUGUUUUGUGGAUACUGGCAGAAGACACAAGACUCUUGGGUCAGAGACAAAGGAUUUCAGUAUUCAUGGGACAACAGUGGCCAGAGCAGAUACUAUACAUCCUGUAGGUUUGCAUCACAGUCAAGGAAGAUGCUUCCAGAGUUCCAGGUGCUACCAAGACAAUAUCUCACUGAAUAAUCUGGAGGACCCACUGGAGACCACUGGAUGACUAUAGGCUCAAGGAGCAGGCAGGCAGGAUUAAAAGGUAAAUAGUAGGCUAAACCAUGAGCAGGGGGCUGUGGAUCUCCAACAGCCGGGUAGCAACAAAAGGAACUUAGCACUUAAUGUUUCCCAUGUGCCAGGCACUGUGCUAGGUGUUUUAUAUGUAUCAUCAUACUUAAUCCUCUCAGUAAACCUAGGAAGAAGGGACUUAGUAACUGCAUACCGAAGACAUCAAACUUUAUGGAUAUUCUUG
rnacentral:lncRNA from 1 species